UACGGAGGGUGCAAGCGUUGUCCGGAUUUAUUGGGUUUAAAGGGCGCGUAGGCGGCUAAUUAAGUCAGCGGUGAAAUUCCACAGCUUAACUGUGGAACUGCCAUUGAUACUGGUUGGCUUGAGUACAGAUGAGGUAGGCGGAAUUGACAGUGUAGCGGUGAAAUGCUUAGAUAUUGUCAAGAACACCUAUUGCGAAGGCAGCUUACUAAGCUGUAACUGACGCUGAGGCACGAAAGCGUGGGGAUCAAACAGG
rnacentral:rRNA from 1 species